rfam:Spirochaetes bacterium GWB1_27_13 gwb1_scaffold_6602, whole genome shotgun sequence.
GCCGGUGUAGCUCAAUGGUAGAGCAAUUCACUCGUAAUGAAUAGGUUGAGAGUUCGAUUCUCUUCACCGGCU